rnacentral:rRNA from 1 species
GAUGAACGCUGGCGGCGUGCCUAAUACAUGCAAGUCGAGCGAACAGACGAGGAGCUUGCUCCUCUGACGUUAGCGGCGGACGGGUGAGUAACACGUGGAUAACCUACCUAUAAGACUGGGAUAACUUCGGGAAACCGGAGCUAAUACCGGAUAAUAUAUUGAACCGCAUGGUUCGAUAGUGAAAGACGGUUUUGCUGUCACUUAUAGAUGGAUCCGCGCCGCAUUAGCUAGUUGGUAAGGUAACGGCUUACCAAGGCAACGAUGCGUAGCCGACCUGAGAGGGUGAUCGGCCACACUGGAACUGAGACACGGUCCAGACUCCUACGGGAGGCAGCAGUAGGGAAUCUUCUGCAAUGGGCGAAAGCCUGACGGAGCAACGCCGCGUGAGUGAUGAAGGUCUUCGGAUCGUAAAACUCUGUUAUUAGGGAAGAACAAAUGUGUAAGUAACUAUGCACGUCUUGACGGUACCUAAUCAGAAAGCCACGGCUAACUACGUG